rnacentral:rRNA from 1 species
GACGAACGCUGGCGGCGUGCUUAACACAUGCAAGUCGAACGGAAAGGCCCUGCUUUUGUGGGGUGCUCGAGUGGCGAACGGGUGAGUAACACGUGAGUAACCUGCCCUUGACUUUGGGAUAACUUCAGGAAACUGGGGCUAAUACCGGAUAGGAGCUCCUGCUGAAUGGUGGGGGUUGGAAAGUUUCGGCGGUUGGGGAUGGACUCGCGGCUUAUCAGCUUGCGGGUGGGGUAGUGGCUUACCAAGGCUUUGCCGGGUAGCCGGCCUGAGAGGGUGGCCGGCCCCACUGGGUCUGAGAUACGACCCAGACUCCUCCGGGAGGCAGCAGUGGGGAAUAUUGCACAAUAGGCUGAAGCCUGAUGCAGCGACGCCGCGUGCGGGAUGACGGCCUUCGGGUUGUAAACCGCUUUCGCCUGUGACGAAGCGUGAGUGACGGUAAUUGGUAAAGAAGCACCGGCUAACUACGUG